rnacentral:rRNA from 1 species
AUUGAACGCUGGCGGCAGGCCUAACACAUGCAAGUCGAGCGGAUGAAGGGUGCUUGCUCCUGGAUUCAGCGGCGGACGGGUGUGUAAUGCCUAGGAAUCUGCCUGGUAGUGGGGUAUAACGUCCUGAAACGGGCGCUAAUACCGCAUACGUCCUGAGGGAGAAAGUGGGGGAUCUUCGGACCUCACGCUAUCUGAUGUGCCUAGGUCGGAUUAGCUAGUUGGUGGGGUAAAUGCCUACCAAGGCGACGAUCCGUAACUGGUCUGAGAGGAUGAUCAGUCACACGGGAAGUGAGACACGGACCAGAAUACUAAGGGAGGCAGCAGAGGGGAAUAUUGGACAAUGGGCGAAAGCAUGAUACAGCAAAGGCGAGUGUGAGAAGAAGGUCUUCGGAGUGUAAAGCAAGGUAAGUUGGGAGGAAGGGAAGUAAGUUAAAACCAAGCUGGAUUGACGUUAACAACAGAAUAAGCACCGGCUAACUACGUG